ACCAGGUAUGGGGGUACACACCUGUAAUCCCUACUACUGGGAGGCUGAGAUUGGUGGAGCUCUUGAAGUCAGGGAUUCUUAGCUACAGUGAGCUGCGCCAAUCUGAUGUCUGAGCUAAGCUCAAUAUUAAUAUGAUGAUUCCCCGUGAGCAGAGCAGUCACCAGGUUACUUAAGAAAAGGUAAACUGACCCGGGUUACAAAUAGAGCAGAUCAAAGAUCCUAUGCUAAUCAUAGUGGGACAGGGCCUAUGAAUAACCCAUGAGCUUCCAGUAUGGUUAAGAUAGGGGAAACCAGUCUUUU
rnacentral:SRP_RNA from 1 species